rnacentral:lncRNA from 1 species
CCUCCCACCGGUCUCACUUACCUGACCAUAUGUGUCGACCCAGUUCUGAUUUGAGGUGGCUAACAAUUCGAGCUAACCCAUACCACUAGGUUAGUCAUAAUUGUUAUGACUAUGUCAAGUCAAGUUUAAUGAGAUCUAAAUCAAAUCUUCCUAAGAAAAUAUUAAGUCUAAGGUCUUCCACCAUUGUGGAUGUGCGGGCCCUUUCCGGGGUUGAUUAUUCUCGACUGGUUA